rnacentral:tRNA from 1 species
GGAGAUUUAGCUCAGUGGUAGAGCGCUUGCCUAGGAAGCGCAAGGCCCUGGGUUCGGUCCCCGGCUCCG